UCCCAGGUGGGUGUAGUGGGUUAGGAUUCGUGGCUCUCACCCACGCGGCCCGGGUUCGAUUCCCGGUCUGGGAA
rnacentral:tRNA from 1 species